AGGCAGGCAGGCAGCUUUGCAUGACAUUCUUCUGGACGUGUUUCAUUGUGAUGAUAGUGAGGGUGAGUCAGUCUGUUUUUUGGCAAGACAGUAGUUGAGUGAUUACUGAGAGAAAAUUAUUCUAAGUGUUUAAAGUGUUGUGACUGACCUUUUUCUCUUUUCUUUUCUUUGCCUCACCUGUAACUCUGCUGAGACAUUGAGGAACAUGCACACUGGACUGACCUGCUCUGGCAACCUGAUUUCCACUCUCCAUCCAUCACCAUUCUCUGUUCCUGCAGGUCCUGCAGGUCCUGCUUGCUAAUCAAUGCUCAUAUUUUUUACACAAUUACAAAUAAACUCAAUUCAUUGUAUGACAUGAAGUUGUGCUUCA